UACGGGGGGGGGCAAGCGUUGUUCGGAAUUACUGGGCGUAAAGGGCUCGUAGGUGGCCAACUAAGUCAGACGUGAAAUCCCUCAGCUUAACUGGGGAACUGCGUCUGAUACUGGAUGGCUUGAGUUUGGGAGAGGGACGCGGAAUUCCAGGUGUAGCGGUGAAAUGCGUAGAUAUCUGGAGGAACACCGGUGGCGAAGGCGGCAUCCUGGACCAAUAUUGACGCUGAGGAGCGAAAAGCUAGGGGAGCAAACGGG
rnacentral:rRNA from 1 species